rnacentral:lncRNA from 1 species
CCGUCAGCACAACAGCUCCUGCUCUUAUCUGCAACACAAACCAGACACAAGAAUUCUCAGCUACUGUAACAAAAUUAGACACAAACACAAGAAUUCUCAGCUACUGUAACAAAAUCAGACACAAGAAUUCUCAGCAGGUCCCAUCAUUCCGAACAGAAUGAAACUGAGCCUAAGAGCAGAAUGUAACUCUAGAGCAAAAAGCCAACAGUUUAGAGUAGGACGCACAAGUUAGAUUUCAUAAACAAGAUGACAUUUUGGUUAAGAACAAAACAUUCAAAAGCACUCAAUAUCAUACGAAAACAGAGGGUAACUAGAUCACAUUAUACUAAGACUAGGAUGGCCAAAGUUCAAAAAUUUAAAAUUCAACAAGCCAUUGGAUUUCCAUUGACAAUUCUCCACAAACCACAUGAAAACAACAUAGAUUAUGAUAAAACUACAGUCCUUGCCUUAUGUGAAGUUAAUUCAGAAGUUUGUGGCAAUCUGAAUUAGUAAACUAAGAGUAGUGUUGCAGAUUCAGUAGCUAACAAGCUUAGUGUUUGAUUCAAUAGCUAACUAGACUCAUUAACUCCAAGUAAACUGUACCUAUAGAGACAUUCACGUGAAACUGAAAUCUAGUGAAACAAUGUCAGCAUACUAGCACAAUUGUGUUGCAGACACAUAAUUAUAGUAAUGAAACGUGGGUUUGCUUCUAAAUAAAGAAGAAGAUUAUAGCAAUGAGUAAUACGGAUGAAAACAAACUCAUGAAUAAGACAACACAAACACAAAACAUAACUAUAUUAAGCUUAUCAUUUACAUCCUAACUUUGUACAAUCUAUAUCGAAACCACAGAUGAGCUCACAAUCUGAGAAAAUUCUCUAACUAAGCUCGAUUACGAAAAAUCAGAUCACAACUAAUGCACUCAACUCAAUCAAAAGAGAGAGAGGACUCAAUAUUGCAAAAUCGAGACUUUAAAGCUAAUCCAAUACACAAUCAAAUUGGGUUUCUUCGCGACACGCACACAAAGAUAAUCUAGCAAAGGAACUUGAAAAGAAGCUAUGCUAAUAUCUAGCUAUGGAACAAAAACAAAAAACGAUACGAACCAGAGCAACGAGUUGAGAGACGAGGAGAAUCGGAGACUUACGGACAAGCAGAAGCAGCGUUUGGUCUUAAGAGGAGAAUCAAACAAGUGAAUUGAAAAUUUAUAUUAGUUUAAUUUUCCCCAAAAUUAGAAAUCCGAGAUUGUUUUUUAAAAAAAUCGGGCAUCCCAUUGUCUUUGAAUAUCAAAGUUUUCUUCAGAGAAGAGAAGGGAUCGA